rnacentral:rRNA from 1 species
GACAGAGGGGGCAAGCGUUGCUCGGAAUCACUGGGCGUAAAGGGCGCGUAGGCGGGAUGGCAAGCCAGUCGUGAAAUCUCUCGGCUCAACCGAGAAACGUCGGCUGAUACUGCCGUUCUUGAGGGAUGCAGAGGAGACUGGAAUUCCCGGUGUAGCGGUGAAAUGUGUAGAGAUCGGGAGGAACACCGGUGGCGAAGGCGGGUCUCUGGGCAUUUCCUGACGCUGAGGCGCGAAAGCGUGGGGAGCAAACGGG